GCUUCUUGCGGGCUGCUUGUAUGCAAAGGGGAAAAAAUGCUUGGACAAAACAAAAUUCUUAGCUGUUGGUUUUAUUGGAGGACUUGGAGGCGGAGGAGGGCUGCCCCGUCUCCGGCGUUUCCAUAGCCGGGCGCUCGGGCCGUCCCGCCAGACCCUGGCACCGAACUCGUUUUCCUGCGUCGUUCUGUGCCUCGGUGCCCUCUGUGCUUCUCCGCUCGUCCCGAACUGUUUCAGACUGGUUUCUCUUCCAACCUGCCUGCUUCGGACGUGUCCCGUAGGGCACAGAUUUGCCUUUACCGUGUCCUUCUUUCCCGGAGAGGGCGUUCGGGCAGAUGUUCAGAUUCAAAGGACCUGUAAACCGAAUCAGCGGCAUCUGUCCUGGAUGGGAGCACAGCCCGAGAAAGUCCCACUGCUCCCUGACUUCCUAAAUAAACCGCCUUUAACUGCAUUUUGAAAAAUUCGUUUACAAAAGAAUUGCCGUCUGACUUUUAGUGCUUGUUUAGAGCGUGCUACUGAAACUUUAGAGAUCUUCUUUGAGUAACCCUUGGCUUCUUCGCUUAAGCUAUUUAUCUACUUAACUAUUUACUAGACCUAUAAUCGACUAAUUUAUGCGGUAAUAAGUGCCAUUGAUCUUGGAAAUCAGACUGGGUUACUCGUUGAUGUAAAAUUCCACAAACCAGUAAAUUAUUGCAAAGCCUUGGAUUUUGUACCUUUAAAAGAUAAACCAUCUAAAAAUGUGAUAGUUUCUCUUUUUAUUUUUAGUGGAACUUGUAAUUUCCUUCUCAGAAGUGCACUACAAAUGCAUAAUGUUGUCAUCUGAAGGGAUUUGUUCCUGGUGAUUUGUGUAGAAUACUUUGUGUAAAUAAAUCUAAACCCAGAGUUGGUGGGAAAAGGGGGACCCAUAAACUUGGCAGAGUCGAGACUGAAAUAAUUUUGUAAAUUGCAGCAAAUAUUCAUCUGCAACACGAAUUAGACUGAC